UGCCAGACUCCUACGGGAGGCAGCAGUGGGGAAUAUUGCACAAUGGGGGAAACCCUGAUGCAGCGACGCCGCGUGAGCGAUGAAGUAUUUCGGUAUGUAAAGCUCUAUCAGCAGGGAAGAAAAUGACGGUACCUGACUAAGAAGCCCCGGCUAACUACGUGCCAGCAGCCGCGGUAAUACGUAGGGGGCAAGCGUUAUCCGGAUUUACUGGGUGUAAAGGGAGCGUAGACGGCAAUGCAAGCCAGAUGUGAAAGCCCGGGGCUCAACCCCGGGACUGCAUUUGGAACUGUGUAGCUGGAGUGUCGGAGAGGCAGGCGGAAUUCCUAGUGUAGCGGUGAAAUGCGUAGAUAUUAGGAGGAACACCAGUGGCGAAGGCGGCCUGCUGGACGAUGACUGACGUUGAGGCUCGAAAGCGUGGGGAGCAAACAGGAUUAGAUACCCUUGUACA
rnacentral:rRNA from 1 species